UCUGAGAGCAAAGACCCCAUCUGUCCUUUCCUCCGGCAGAGGCGCCUGUGUGGAGCACUCACUCCAUAAACAUCUGUGGAGGACAUGGCGGUCCAGACCCUUCCCAGGACAAUGUGACCCAUACUGGGCCCAUCCUCUCCUCCCUGCUGGAAUGGGCUGACAUCCACUAUCAAGAACAUUUUCAGGACUCUGGGACACUCCAGGCCAUCUGUACCAGGGCAAGAGAGUUUGCCCCUCAGACUCCAGGCUCGAGAGUGGAGUUGACAGAGGGUAGGCGGGGCUGGCUGCCAGACCUGUGGGCUCCAUUUCCCCAGUUCCAGAUCAAGAUGAAAGAAUGUGGCCAACAAUGGAGAAGAGGAGGGAGGUGUGCUGUCCUUAAAGAAAUGGAGAAUGCCUCUUGUGAUGUCCCUCGCUCACACAUUUGGGGAACUUGAGGCCAAGAACAGAGGAGCUGUCUGGAAGCUUGUUUAAAGGUUGCAACAGGAGCCACACAUUGAGGGGUCUGGCCAGGCUGCUGAGCAGGAAGCUGACUGAAGCAGGAGACCCUGCCUGCCUUGGCUGCCCCCCAGAGCCCAGUCCACCAGACCCAGAACACCUCAGAGACACUGGGCCCCAAGGAAGGAGGAGGUGUGGAAUGUCAUCGAGGAAAUAACGCAGUCACCAAAGCCUUGCUUUGGUUGGGAAGGACUGGGGCUGGAAGAAAGGCCCCGUGAGCACCCCCAGAGUCUCUGCUUGAGUAGUGCCCACCCAGGCCACGAGGGCUUCUCCUUGGUGACAGAAUACACAGCAGCAUAGCCUGUACUCAGUCCUAGUGUACUGGUCGUGGAGUCCCAGGCUCUCAGCCUCCUGUAACCAGCACACAACAGUAGGAGCAGCCCCUGUCACAACAGACAGGAGACUGAGGCGAAGAAAGCCUGAGUGGCUGGCCCAGGCCCUGGGGAUGCUUAGUGCUGAGCUGUGCUGUGAGCCCAGGUUCUGGUCAGCUUCUGGGCAGCCCGAGGUGUAUAGACCUGAAACACCAGGCUAGAGGAGCCCACAUUCUCUGGAGGAUCGACCUCCUGCCUCCAGGGGAGCAUGGUGGGUCCUUGUCCCCUCUCCCCAUCCUCUUAUCCUAAGGCUGGCUCCCACUCCGAACCACUGACCAUGUGCCAGAUGCCUCUGCCUGCUGUGACUUAGUCCAGCUGUUACUCAGCCUCCUGUUUGCUGGUUGUUGUCUUUUUUUUUUUUAAUUUUCCAAAGUAUGACAUGGCCACUGAGCCAUGGCAGGGUAUUCCUGCUGCACUGACAGGGGACUCCUCUCAGGCCUAAAUCCAUGAGUGUCCAGGAGGGUCUGUGGCUUGUUCUGGCCAAGUGGCUGAUAAUUAGAUGCUGGGAUGAGGCAUCCUGGGACUCUGGUCCUGGACAGACUCUGUCCCCUCCAGGGCCAGCAGUCUGCACCUCAGUUCUACCUGACUCGGGCAUGGUGUUGGGACACCUGACCAAAGUCACCCUCCCCAACUGCUUCCCAAUCCAAGGGGCCAAUGUCCUUGACAUUGUAGAUUAGGGACCUAGAGGCUAGAAACCCUCCAAGGGAGGGGCGUCCCAGAGCCCUGCUUCUUAAGGAAGGAGUAAGAAAUGGAGAUGUGUCCUGGGAAGGCUCAGGACAUGGGUCAGUGCCACGCAUGGCUGCUGUUUUGUUAGGCACUGAGCCUGGUCCUUAGGAGCCAAGCAGGGAAGGACAGCCCUGAUGCGGAUCCUUCUCAGGAUUGGGCCCAGCGUGGGUCAGUUGGUGGAGUGUUAAAAGUGGAGGUCAGCCAUGCUGGGCUCGAAGCCUGGGUUUAGUCUGUGUGAAUUCAUUUAGGAUUUCUCUCUCUCCUCAUCCUGAAAUGGAGUUAGCGCCCACUUUGAGGGCAGUGCUCUGGUGCCAAAGAGAUGAAAUGGGAGCCACCAAGUGUAGACCCAGUUCUGACCCCUGCAUUUGGAAGGUUCCCUGUCUUUGAAAAGGUUCAUUGCCCAGAGGAGCCUGCUGCAAAGCAGUGGCCUACACACCACAGGAAAUCUGGGAGGACAAAAAGAAGUGCUUCAUGAUAAGCACUGAGGGAUCCACUGUCUAUGUUUUAAAUACAAAAAUCCCAAUGAGAUGCAAAUAAUGCACAGGAAAUAAACCUGGACAUGACAAAAGUAAAUAAAUAAAAAUAUAUUUGUUUUGCAAA